GGCCUUGUCUUUCGAGCUCAAAAAGAUCUGCAUUAAAAGCAAGUCUUCCUACCUCACAGGGCUGCCAGCAGUCCAGAGCUGAAAUCCGAAGUUUUUUCAGAUUAUAAUAUAAUAUGGAGAACAUGAGUUAGUAAACUCUUGCAACUCUUGGAAGAGCUGCCUGGAACUAAGGACCACCCAGAGCACCACAUGCCACCAGACAUGACCACAAACAGGCAUGGGCCUGGACAAUGGUUACCUUUGAGGUAACCAGAAGAUGGCAGUGCCCAUAGCGGUGGAGACCUGCUUGCCCCAGGUGAAUUCUGGAGCAAAUGGGGGCUCCCAGAAGACUAAAAACAGAGUCUUCCAUGAGAGAGAAAUCUGGAAAGGAAAGAUACCCAAGCAUUGUGGAAGGCAUACACCUUGAAGUCCUUCAAUAUAUUCUCUGGGAGGAGCCAGAGAUAAACUGAGUAAUAGCCUCAAGGUGCCUCUGUGGACUAAGGAGCUGGGGCUGUGCCCCACAUGCCCAGGGGCCUUGAAGAAAUCUCUUUAUUUCCUCUUCAUCACUGUUCAAUUGAUAUGUUAAAGAGU